rnacentral:lncRNA from 1 species
GUUUUUUUAAUUGCCAAUGAGGAAAGGGGAAGUUCUGUGCUAGGCGAUAGAGAUCCAACUGUUGAGCAGGCCUCUCUGCCUGUGGCCUUCCGGCCGGUUUCCAGACGCCCAGGUGGCCAACAUUAGAGUCCGCGUAGCAGUGUGAGAUUGCAAGUUCACCUGCCACUACCGCUGCCGCGCGCUCGUCUGCCUGGACUGUUGCGGGCCCCGGGACCUGGGCUGGGAACCCGCGGUGGAGCGGGACACGAACGUGGUGAGCGCGGGGCCGAGGGCGUAUGGGAAGGGCGAGGAUGGGCAGGCCACAGUGCAGGCAUUCUCGAGGGCUGCCUGGGUGCCGCGCGCAAGGAGCGUUCUAAUUGCCGAUUUCCCGGCGGCACAGAGAGGCUAAUUCUGCGCGGGGGCUGGGAGGGGAGCCUGGAUUGCCGGCUCCGCAAGUACUCCACCCGCUGCAAGCGGACCCGGGCCCAGGCUGACCCAGGCUCCGCGCACGCGCACUUCCCGCACCUUCCCGCCCUCGCCUCCGGCCAGAGGCCACUCUUGUGCGCUUGCCCGGACGCUGGCACCCGCCCCCGUUCCCUGUGGUAGGUGGGGUCUGUGAGUGGAGCUCCGGAGCGAUGAGGUCAUUCCUGGGGGCGAAGCGUGCGUGUCCCCGCCCCGGCGUUCCUGCCCCAAUGAGACAAGAGCUAGAUCCCGGCGAUCUACGUUUCAGUCUUAACGGUUGCGGCGCGGCUCUGGCCCGGGCGCACGCGCACACUGACACGCGUACACGCACGCACGCGACCGGGGCGGUGGUUGGCGGCUACGGACGCGCAGGACUGGGGGACGGGCGGGUACGGCUAUGGGCGAGGCGGAGGCGCCUUCUUUCGAAAUGACCUGGAGCAGCACGACGAGCAGUGGCUACUGCAGCCAAGAGGACUCGGACUCGGAGCUCGAGCAGUACUUCACCGCGCGAACCUCGCUAGCUCGCAGGCCGCGCCGGGACCAGGUGGGAGCCAGGGGGUGCCGGCGGGCGGGAGGGGAAGCGGUCGCUGGAGCUCCGCCCUCCCCGGUCCGUUGCCGCGUCCUGGGUCGGUGGGCAGCCCCACCCUCCUGGCUACGUGGCUCCCCGCGGGUCCUGGCCGGGGACCUGCCCGCGGAACCGUGCGUAAGACCCCGAUUCCACCGCCUAGAUGCUGGGUGCCGGGGCCCCCUUGGUUUCUGUCACAGACAGGUUGAACACGGAAAAAGCAGCUGUAUGGCUUGUGGUAGACCUGAGCCGGGCAUUAUCCAGCUAUGACUAAAGCCGACCGAGCAGUUUGGACUAGCACCUCGAUUUCCGCGUUCGAAUGCUCCUGCUCCCUCCUUGGGGAGACUAGGGG